UACGUAGGGUGCGAGCGUUGUCCGGAAUUAUUGGGCGUAAAGGGCUCGUAGGCGGUUUGUCGCGUCUGCCGUGAAAGUCCGGGGCUCAACUCCGGGAUCUGCGGUGGGUACGGGCAGACUAGAGUGAUGUAGGGGGAGACUGGAAUUCCUGGUGUAGCGGUGAAAUGCGCAGAUAUCAGGAGGAACACCGAUGGCGAAGGCAGGUCUCUGGGCAUUAACUGACGCUGAGGAGCGAAAGCAUGGGGAGCGAACAGG
rnacentral:rRNA from 1 species